ensembl:lncRNA
CUAACUAACUAACUAACUAACUAACUAACUAACUAACUAACUAACUAACUAACUAACUAACUAACUAACUAACUAACUAACUAACUAACUAACUAACUAACUAACUAACUAACUAACCAACCAACCAGCCAGCCCCGGCCCGUCCUGUCCCCGCGGGUGCCGCGGCGCCGGCCCCCGCACGAAGCCGUGGGCUGGCGCUGCCCUACACCCAAUCUCCGGCCAAUCUGUCACGCUUCAUGCCAGUUGUUCUAUUUACGGAACCGUUCAGGGGUUCAGAGCCCUGAGAGCUGAUGCUUCCUGUUCAGCCUGGACUGCCCUGAGGCAUAGACAGCCACACACUGGCCAUCAGCAGUGGCAGCCCUCCCUUCGCCUCUCCUGGGGCACAGGAUUUGAAGAUAAAUUCAUAUUGCGGAGGAUAGGGACCCUCAAGUUGAGGAGGCCUCCAGCAGGGGCAGUAAAAUGUGUGCACUGUGCAUUUGUGCUUCAGCCCCUCCGCUGCCCAGUCUGUUACAGAUAGGCAUCAUCUUCUAAACACCCCAUGGG